rnacentral:rRNA from 1 species
UACGUAGGUGGCAAGCGUUGUCCGGAUUUACUGGGCGUAAAGAGCUCGUAGGCGGUCUGUCGCGUCGGAUGUGAAAACCCAGGGCUCAACCCUGGGCCUGCAUUCGAUACGGGCAGACUAGAGUUCGGUAGGGGAGACUGGAAUUCCUGGUGUAGCGGUGAAAUGCGCAGAUAUCAGGAGGAACACCGGUGGCGAAGGCGGUUCUCUGGGCAUUACCUGACGCUGAGGAGCGAAAGUGUGGGGAGCGAACAGG